UGGAUGCAGGCAGAAACUCUGCUAGCUAUGGCAGCUCCUUUCAAAGCCGUUUCAUCAUGACUGAAGAUGUGCCCAGCAGCAUUCAGUACCUCCAGGUCAAGAGCCUGACAGCAGAAGAUUCUGCUGUUUACUUCUGUGCUCGACAAAGCACAGUGACUGAAGACAGUGGAACAGCUGCACAAAAACCUCCACAGACAACAAACAGCAAUAGAGGAGGACAGAGAACAGUGGACACACAGUUUAACAUGAUGGACUAUAGGACAGGACUGCUGCUUUUAACUAUCUGCUGGGCAGGUGUUGAUGGUCAGACUCUGACAGAAUCUGAACCAGUGAUUAAAAAGCCUGGAGAAUCUCACAGACUGACCUGUACAGCCUCUGGAUUGUCGAUCACUGGCUACGAGAUGAACUGGGUCAGACAGGCUCCUGGAAAAGGACUGGAGUGGGUUGCUUAUAUCAGUAGUAGCAGUAGCUACAUCUACUACUCUCAGUCAGUUCAAGGCCGGUUCACCAUCUCCAGAGACAACAGCAGACAGCAGGUGUAUCUGCAGAUGAACAGUCUGAAGACUGAAGAUUCUGCUGUUUAUUAUUGUGCUCGAGAGCCACAGUGACUGGAGUUGGUUGAGCAGCUGUAC